rnacentral:rRNA from 1 species
GAUGAACGCUGGCGGCGUGCCUAAUACAUGCAAGUCGAGCGAACAGAUGAGGAGCUUGCUCCGCUUACGUUAGCGGCGGACGGGUGAGUAACACGUGGAUACCCUACCUAUAAGACUGGGAUAACUUCGGGAAACCGGAUCUAAUACCGGACAAUAUAUUGAACCGCAUGGUUCAAUAGUGAAAGACGGUUUUGAUGUCACUUAUAGAUGGAUCCGAGCCGCAUUAGCUAGUUGGUAAGGUAACGGCUUACCAAGGCAACGAUGCGUAGCCGACCUGAGAGGGUGAUCAGCCACACUGGAACUGAGACACGGUCCAGACUCCUACGGGAGGCAGCAGUAGGGAAUCUUCGGCAAUGGGCGAAAGCCUGACGGAGCAACGCCGCGUGUGUGAUGAAGGUCUUCGGAUCGUAAAACUCUGUUAUUAGGGAAGAACAAAUGUGUAAGUAACUAUGCACGUCUUGACGGUACCUAAUGAGAAAGCCACGGCUAACUACGUG